rnacentral:rRNA from 1 species
CAGUCGCCGCGGUAAGACAGAGGAUGCAAGCGUUAUCCGGAAUGAUUGGGCGUAAAGCGUCUGUAGGUGGCUUUUCAAGUCCGCCGUCAAAUCCCAGGGCUCAACCCUGGACAGGCGGUGGAAACUACCAAGCUAGAGUACAGUAGGGGCAGAGGGAAUUUCCGGUGGAGCGGUGAAAUGCAUUGAGAUCGGAAAGAACACCAACGGCGAAAGCACUCUGCUGGGCCGACACUGACACUAAGAGACGAAAGCUAGGGGAGCAAAUGGGAUUAGAUACCCCAGUAGUCCCUGUCUCUUAUAC